UUUGCUAUAUUAUCUAAGAGUAUGCAAUGAGGAUAUGACUUCCAAGAUUUAGGUCUUUACUUGGCCUAGUUGAAGUGAUCUUCUGUAGUUGCACUAGAAAAAGUAAGGAGAAAACCUUUUCAGUUGUAGCGAUCUACCUAGGCUCUCUCAAAAGGAAGACUCUUGCACUUUAAUUGCACACAGAGAAGGUCAAGUUAUAAUUCACUUUAAUCCAAUCUACAUUGGUCAUUGUUGUAUGCUCAUUGUGCAACUUCUAAUCUGAUGCCAUUUUUUUCCUAUUGUCAUAGGCAUUGAGAGUCUACAAUCACAAUAGCGAGUCCAUGGAAAUAUACAUGAGGUUGAGAGUGAUAGAUUUUCUCGAGGCCUAGAGCUUUUCAAGAAUCUGCAUGAAGAUGAUUCCUGGCAGACUAUAGGGAUUCUCGUGCAUGAGGUAAAGAAAAGAGAUAUGGAUAAGCCAAUACAUGGGAAAGUUACUGGUUGGAUUUUAAGUCAAGAAACAGAAUUUGUAUCUAUUCAGAUGACUAAUGCUGCUAAUGAGGCUUGUCAGCCCUUUUAAUGAAACAUAACCUGGUCUCCUCAAGAAGCUUUCAUCUGUUGAACGAUUGUAAGUUGGCACAUCUGAAAAGCUUGAGUUGUAAACCUCCUACCAAUUCAUCCGAAGCCUCCCUAUACAAUGCAUAUCUUCUGAUCUAAAGGGAAAGUGUUGCAACAUGAGCAGCUGCCCAACAUUGAAUGGUGCAAGCAUUACCAGAUUCCCUACUUUGAGACUGAUCAUAUUUUGUUAGAAAAUUCUUGUCUACGCCUAUAUUUAAGGAUGUUUCAGUGCAGUAUAUUCCAACCAUUAUGCUGUCUUUAGUUGUGCAUAUUGAAUCUCAUGAUGCUAUGCAUUUUUUUGACAUUUUGAGGAAGAGUUCCUUAUUGCUAGGUGUAAAAGCCAAUGACUAUUACAGCAUCACACAUUCCUUAUUGCUAGAUGUAAAAGUCAAUGAGUAUUACAACAUAACACAU